rnacentral:rRNA from 1 species
CUACGGGUUGCUGCAGUGAGGAAUAUUGCACAAUGGGGGGAACCCUGAUGCAGCAACGCCGCGUGGAGGAUGACGCAUUUCGGUGUGUAAACUCCUUUUAUAUGUCAAGAAAAUGACGGUAGCAUAUGAAUAAGCACCGGCUAACUACGUGCCAGCAGCCGCGGUAAUACGGAGGGUGCAAGCGUUACUCGGAAUCACUGGUCGUGAAGGACGCGUAGGCGGGUUGGAAAGUCAGGUGUGAAAUCCUACAGCUUAACUGUAGAACUGCACUUGAAACUUCUAAUCUAGAGUAUGGGAGGGGGGGAUGGAAUUAGUGGGGUAGGGGUAAAAUCCGUAGAUAUCACUAGGAAUACCUAAAGCGAAGGCGAUCUCCUGGAACAUUACUGACGCUAAGGCGUGAAAGCGUGGGGAGCAAACAGGAUUAGAUACCCCCGUAGUC